GUAGGUGGCAAGCGUUGUCCGGAAUUAUUGGGCGUAAAGGGCUCGCAGGCGGUUUCUUAAGUCUGAUGUGAAAGCCCCCGGGCUCAACCGGGGGAGGGUCAUUGGAAACUGGGGAACUUGAGUGCAGAAGAGGAGAGUGGAAUUCCACGUGUAGCGGUGAAAUGCGUAGAGAUGUGGAGGAACACCAGUGGCGAAGGCGACUCUCUGGUCUGUAACUGACGCUGAGGAGCGAAAGCGUGGGGAGCGAACAGGAUUAGAUACCCUGGUAGUCCACGCCGUAAACGAUGAGUGCUAAGUGUUAGGGGUUUCCGCCCCUUAGUGCUGCAGCUAACGCAUUAAGCACUCCGCCUGGGGAGUACGGUCGCAAAGACUG
rnacentral:rRNA from 1 species